rnacentral:misc_RNA from 1 species
UUUCCGUAGGUGAACCUGCGGAAGGAUCAUUCAUAAUAAGGUGAUUUAUGGCACUUUUUAAAAAUCCAUAUCCACCUUGUGUGCAAUGUUAGAGCUCGUGAAUCCUGGCUAGAUUGUUAUGCAUCAACUCAGUCUUUCCCUAUUCUGUUUGAAAAAUAUUAUGAAUACUUAAUUCAAAAUACAACUUUCAACAACGGAUCUCUUGGCUCUC